GUCUACGGCUAUGCCACCAUCGACAAGCCCGAUCCCGUCUGAUCUCGGAAGCUAAGCAGGGUUGGGCCUGGUUAGUACUUAGAUGGGAGACCACCUAGGAAGACCAGGUGCUGUAGGCG
rnacentral:rRNA from 1 species